GACGAACGCUGGCGGCGUGCUUAACACAUGCAAGUCGAACGGAAAGGCCCGGAGCUUGCGCGGUGCUCGAGAGCCGAACGGGUGAGUAACACGUGAGUAACCUGCCCCUGACUUUGGGAUAACUCUAGGAAACUCGGGCGAUUAUCGGAUAGGAUCUCUUGCUCCACGUUGGGGGUUGGAAAGUUUCGGCGGUUGUGGAUGGACUCGCGGCUUAUCAGCUGCUUUGUGGGGUAGGGGCUUACCAAGGUUUUGACGGGUAGGCGGCCUGAGAGGGUUACCGGCGACAUUGGGACUGCGAUACGGACCAGACUCCUACCGGACGCAGCAGUGGAGAGUAUUACAGAAUAGGCGGGAGCCAGAGACAGCGGCGCCGGGUGCGGGAUGACGGGCUACGAGUUAUGAACAACUUUCGACUGUGACGAGGAGUGAGUGACGGUAAUGGGUAAAAAAGCCCCGGCUAACUACGUG
rnacentral:rRNA from 1 species